GUUUAAGGGUAUAUUCCACCUAUUUGGGAUACAUCUGAAAAGUGGGGGAAAGUAUGCCUUGUAUAAUUGUGUUAAGUGCUAAUCUAAGGGGAGGAGAUGUGUGGGAGGUAACGUCUAUGGGAUUGGUUACUGUACUUAUUGUGGUGAAUCCCUCCCUUGCAUGGGAGAAUCUCAUAAAAGCAGGAAUGUUGCCAUUAAAAGUUAGUUCUACUCCUGAUACUGUGUGUCGUCCAGUGAUUGGGGAAAGUGAUGGGAUAUUAUUGGAUUGUAUUGCUGAUUGUGCUGGAUAUUCUCUUGGAUUUAUU